UUGAGUUUUAAGGUUAUUUGUACUUGCUUAUUUAUUUAUAUAAGGUACGGAUUUUUAAAUUUCUUCUACAUUUAUUUAUUAAUUUAUUAGAAAAUCGACGGUAGUGUCUCCCUUUUACAAUGUUUAGUUAAAUGUAACCAGUAAGAAGGAAAUAAAAAGUUAAUUAACAAAGUAAACGAAAAUGCUUCUUUUGAGCAGAAGAAUGUAAUGUAAACAGAAAAGUUUUUCCUGAGUUUUAUAAGGUGGUUUAUCUUUUGCAUCGAUAAUCAUAUAAAAUAAGAGGCGAGGUAUAAUGGACGAAAAUCUAUUCUAAUCUGUAGACGAUUUUGAAGAACGUUUUUUAAUUUUUGAAGAUCUGAAAAAAUUUACAUUAGUUGAGAAGUCAUUAAUAUUUACAAGAAACAUCAUUUCGGAUGUAAAGACACAGAAGAGUAGGUCGCAAAAUACAUACAUUUUAUGCAGUCCAGGCAUAAAAACAAUCUGGUUUAUCAUUAGUGCAGUUGGUCAAUUACAAAAUGUACAUAAAAUGAUAUUGUUUGAAAUUGAGGAAGCUAAAGCUGUUAAUACCGAAUACUACUGUAUCAAUCAAGAGAUAUAUGUUGCCAUUGAUAUUGGUAUCAUAGAUUGAGUAUAUAAUGUACCUGGUGCGAAGCUUCCUGUUUGUAAUAGAAAAGUCAAUCCUGAUCAUGAUAUGGUUGUAUCCAGUAAUACGGCAAAGGGACCUUACGUUCGUAACAUUUUGUUGUCUAAAACAUUAUCUAGGAGCCGGAACUUUUGCGAAAUUGCGCCGUGGACCGCCUCAACAACCCAUCUUACUUUUGUCACUUUCCUAGACUCAUUAGCUUCAGCAGUUGUAAGUUGAUGCCGUUUUCCUUUUAGUGCUGGCAUAAGUAGUUUGUAGCCUUUCUCGGUAACGUAUGACUCAACGUCUCUAAAUCCACGCUCUGCAAUUAUGAAAUCGUUUUGAUGCAAAAGAGUUUGCAAACCAAGAGGAUCAUCCAAUAAGAUUUUCAUUAUUGUAGCAUCAUUUUGUGUUCCAUAAUAGGGGCCUGCCAAAUCUAUUAUGUAUCCAUCAGUAGCGCAAAUUGUAAAUGGCUUACAUAAAUGCGAUUUCUUUUGUCCUGAGUAAGAUUUGCGUUGGUAUUCGUUAUUUGUGCUUUUCAUGAAAAAUAUAUGUGCCAUCACAAAUAAUUAACAACUGAUCAUCACUAGUGUUGAAUAAAGCCUUCGAUAUACUAGUCGUAUGAUUUUGAAUUAGCUUUUGUCUUGAUACCAAAAUGGAAUGGUAAAAUAUCUUUUUCGAAACUUCGUAUUAUUUGUUUGCAAUAAUCUGAAACUUGUUGCUCUCGUUUCAAAUGUAAUAUUGAAGAUAUUAUUUUAUUUGAAAUACCUAAUCGUAAUUUCAUUAAAAAAAUCACUAAUGCCUGAAUAACGUUGCGCGAAGGAGAAGACUUUAAUGAUGUUAGAAGAUUCGACAGUUCCAUGAUGUUUUCCCAACUUAAUCCAGUAUACACUUUUAGUUUUUCUUCGGGCAUAGUAAAAUCACCUACUUGGUUAAACAGAGUAACUUCAACCUUUGCUGAAAGUAAAUCUAAAAAUAUUGAGACUUCUUUUGCAGAUAAAUCACUGUAAUUGGAGUAAACGCGCAAGCGUGACAGUUCAUCUUCGAAAAACUUGUUUUUUAUUAAAUGUUGAGAGCAACAACGGUCUCCAUUCGGAAUGAAAAUCCUUCGAUUAAUAAAGGCUUGAUAUCGAGCCUCUAUUGGUAUCGUUUUAAUAUUAGAUGUAGAGUUACAAAAAAUACAGUAUUUAUGAGUUGAAAUUACCCUCUUCAACUGCAGUGUUAUAAAGUCUUCAUUAAAACUGUGACGUACACGAAAGUCUUCAUCAUCAUCAUCAUCAUCAUCAUCAUUAUAACACUCUUCCUCGUCCGCUGAUUUAAACUCUAAAAUAUCACGUCGUUCUGUUUCUAUAUCAAUAUGAGAAGGUCCUGCACAUGUGUCAUCAGUAGCCGAUGAUUUAGAAUACGGAAUUAAUCGACAUUUAUGACACAGAACAUCUCCAACUUUAAGUCGUUUCAUUUGAGAAACGUUGUAUUUACACACUUCAUCUUCGGUUUGCAACGUUUUCUUUCAUUUUCCAGUCUUCUGCAAUAUAAAACCACAAUUACUACAUUUCCCAGACAUUGUCGAUACAAAUCUUCGUCACUGUUUUAUUCACUGAUUAUUAUAUGUAUAUUUUUAAAAAUGAACAAUACGCCACUAAAUUAUUC